rnacentral:rRNA from 1 species
ACAUGCAAGUCGAGCGGUAACAUUUCUAGCUUGCUAGAAGAUGACGAGCGGCGGACGGGUGAGUAAUACUUAGGAAUCUACCUAGUAGUGGGGGAUAGCUCGGGGAAACUCGAAUUAAUACCGCAUACGACCUACGGGAGAAAGGGGGCAGUUUACUGCUCUCGCUAUUAGAUGAGCCUAAGUCGGAUUAGCUAGAUGGUGGGGUAAAGGCCUACCAUGGCGACGAUCUGUAGCUGGUCUGAGAGGAUGAUCAGCCACACCGGAACUGAGACACGGUCCGGACUCCUACGGGAGGCAGCAGUGGGGAAUAUUGGACAAUGGGGGCAACCCUGAUCCAGCCAUGCCGCGUGUGUGAAGAAGGCCUUUUGGUUGUAAAGCACUUUAAGCAGUGAAGAAGACUCCGUGAUUAAUACCCACGGACGAUGACAUUAGCUGCAGAAUAAGCACCGGCUAACUCUGUGCCAGCAGCCGCGGUAAUACAGAGGGUGCAAGCGUUAAUCGGAAUUACUGGGCGUAAAGCGAGCGUAGGUGGCUUGAUAAGUCAGAUGUGAAAUCCCCGGGCUUAACCUGGGAACUGCAUCUGAUACUGUUAGGCUAGAGUAGGUGAGAGGAAGGUAGAAUUCCAGGUGUAGCGGUGAAAUGCGUAGAGAUCUGGAGGAAUA